UCCGAGUUGACCCCGGCAGUCUCCUAUGAGUCCCCGCCAUCACGCGCUGGCAACAUAGAACGAGGGUUGCGCUCGUUGCGGGACUUAACCCAACAUCUCACGACACGAGCUGACGACAGCCAUGCACCACCUGUGAUCGUGCCCCGAAGGGAAGACGUGUUUCCACGCCGGUCACGAACAUGUCAAGCCCAGGUAAGGUUCUUCGCGUUGCGUCGAAUUAAACCACAUGCUCCGCUGCUUGUGCGGGCCCCCGCCAAUUCCUUUGAGUUUCAACCUUGCGGCCGUAGUCCCCAGGCGGUUCACUUAAUGCGUUAGCUGCGGCACCGAGGGGAACCCCCCAACACCUAGUGAACAUCGUUUAUGGCUAAGACUA
rnacentral:misc_RNA from 1 species